rnacentral:lncRNA from 1 species
UUCUCUAAGGAUGCCCGGGCCAUUCGGGAGAGAGCUUUGAAGCAGGCAGAGGAGGCCUUGAAAGGAAAAAGUAAGGCUGGUGGGGAUGAGAAAUUGUACAAGGGGAUGAAUCAAUAUACUGAUUACAAAGCUGGUUUGAGAAGAGAACAUACGAUUUGUAGUGUAUAAAGAAAUGGGGUCGGGGCGGGUUUGAACAGGGGGUCGGGCGGGUUUAAUAAAUAGAAUGGGUGGGUAAUCUGAUCCAAUCGUUGAGUGCCACGUGUUAAAAAAUUAUGUGGAAACAAGUUUUAACGGCUGAGGGAUAUAUAUGGCCCUAAUGUAUAACGGUGGGGAUAUAUUUGUUAAAGAAUUACAAGGGGAUGAAUCAAUAUACUGAUUACAAAGCUGGUUUGAGAAGAGAACAUACGAUUUCUAGUGAGAAAGCUGGUGGAGCGCAUGGUCCUCUCAGGGCUUCUGCCCACAUUAGAGUUUCAGCAAGGUUUGACUAUCAGCCGGAUAUU